GGGAAGGUGGCUCAGUGGUAGAGUGCUUGCCUUGCAUGCAUGAGGCCCUGGGUUC
rfam:Dipodomys ordii contig_93115, whole genome shotgun sequence.